rnacentral:rRNA from 1 species
GACGAACGCUGGCGGCGUGCUUAACACAUGCAAGUCGAACGGAAAGGCCCUGCUUUUGUGGGGUGCUCGAGUGGCGAACGGGUGAGUAACACGUGAGUAACCUGCCCUUGACUUUGGGAUAACUUCAGGAAACUGGGGCUAAUACCGGAUAGGAGCUCCUGCUGCAUGGUGGGGUUGGAAAGUUUCGGCGGUUGGGGAUGGACUCGCGGCUUAUCAGCUUGUUGGUGGGGUAGUGGCUUACCAAGGCUUUGACGGGUAGCCGGCCUGAGAGGGUGACCGGCCACUUUGGGACUGAGAUACGGCCCAGACUCCUACGGGAGGCAGCAGUGGGGAAUAUUGCACAAUGGGCGGAAGCCUGAUGCAGCAACGCCGCGUGCGGGAUGACGGCCUUCGGGUUGUAAACCGCUUUCGCCUGUGACGAAGCGUGAGUGACGGUAAUGGGUAAAGAAGCACCGGCUAACUACGUG